rnacentral:rRNA from 1 species
AUUGAACGCUGGCGGCAUGCCUUACACAUGCAAGUCGAACGGUAACAGGUUAAGCUGACGAGUGGCGAACGGGUGAGUAAUAUAUCGGAACGUGCCCAGUCGUGGGGGAUAACGUAGCGAAAGCUACGCUAAUACCGCAUACGAUCUACGGAUGAAAGCGGGGGAUCGCAAGACCUCGCGCGAUUGGAGCGGCCGAUGUCAGAUUAGGUUGUUGGCGAGGUAAAAGCUCACCAAGCCUGCGAUCUGUAGCUGGUCUGAGAGGACGUCCAGCCACACUGGAACUGAGACACGGUCCAGACUCCUACGGGAGGCAGCAGUGGGGAAUUUUGGAAAAUGGACGCAAGUCUGAGCCAGCAAUGCCGCGUGCAGGACGAAGGCCUUCGGGUUGUAAACUGCUUUUGUACGGAAUGAAACGGUGAGCUCUAAUACAGUUUGCUAAUGACGGUACCGUAAGAAUAAGCACCGGCUAACUACGUGCCAGCCGCCGCGGUAA